AUCAUGCCAUAAAGGAAUUCCAGAUUUGCAGAAGAAAGGUAGGAAAUUCCUACAAAGAAGCAAGCAAAACACCCAUAUUCAGAGCAGCUGGGAACGAAUAAAUUCAGAAAUAGAUAAUUAGUAAACAUUGAGAUUGCACGUGUUCUAUUGCUACCUGCCUUCUCUUGUUAAGUAACUCAUUCAAAGACAGAUAGUAGCUCACUGAUUAGUAGGUGGUGGUGUUCUAGAUGCUCGUCCCUUCUCACCUUGGGCUCUCUGAAUAAGUGAUUAUGUAUUACCAAAUCCAAUGAUGGCUAGCUCCAUGAAGAUCACACAUGUACCACUGCAAGCAAGAAAGCCAGUUGUUAGAUCUAUUUAUCCAUAUAAGAUAGGAGUAGGAAUACAUGCAUAUCCUGCUAUAUGUCAUUCAAAAUUUCAUUUUUCGAAUAUGCUAGCCUACUAAUUGCAUUGGGACAAAUUUGUAGAAGAUGCUAAUCAGGGCAUCUCCAAUGCAAGAGUGCUUGUUCUGCGCUUAGGCAAUAAAAAUAAUAAUAACGGAAGUAGCAUCGAUCUAGCAGUCUGCAACAAAUGAUGCAUGUCAAAACGCAAAACAGAUUAACCAAAUGAACUACUUACGUUGGGGAGACAGUGGAGAAGGUUGGGGCGGAAGGAAACUGGCCACCUACACGGACAGAGUCGGUGGACGGAGGAGCAUAGUAGUCGAUCGCGGGCGAGACGUAGACGGGCGCGUCGGCCGACAGGCGGCGGGAGAGCGGCAUGAACUCCUCCGCGGAGGGGUUCAUCACGUCACCCUUGUACUCUGUG
rnacentral:lncRNA from 1 species